CGUAUGUUGCCGAAAGGUAUUACGGCGAGGAAAGUACGUGCAUCAUAGGGCAGGAUAACUGAUAACGUCCGCCGGAGGCGUCUCCCGGGAAAGUGCAACAGAAAUAUACCGCCCGAGGUGUUUUUGACGAGUGCGGAAAUCGGUUUCUUCACACCGUCAGGCAUAGUUACCUAUGUCAAGGUGGGAAAAAGCGAUUAACACGACCGAUUGAUCGUGUGUUCCGUGCCGUCAAAAGCAUCUCGGGUAAGGAUGGAAAGGCGAGGUAAGAGCUCACCCACUUCUAUGGUAACAUAGAUUUGCUGUAAACCCUAUCCGAUGCAACACCUUGAGCUUCGGCUUCUUGCCGAUGGGCUGCCCGCCCUUUAUGCUCAUGGUGGCAGAGCUUUUUUGCUUGAACUGCGCGGUGACGCGCAGUGAAGAUAGAUGACGGCUGCGUUAGCCAAUAACAUCCUGAAUUGAAUAUGCUCAAAGUUAACGAAGCACUACACAAAAUAUGCCGUUUAAGACACAUUCAAUUUAGGCUGUUGUUGGCUAAGCGUACAGAACCCGGCUUACAAGCUCGGUCAUUAU
rnacentral:RNase_P_RNA from 1 species